rfam:Brassica napus, WGS project CCCW01000000 data, contig: 14953
GUUGAGGGGAAUGUUGUCUGGACCGAGGAUAUUAUAUACACACAUACAUAUAUAUGUUGAUACAAGUGAUCAAUCAUAUAUAAUAUGUAUAUAGAGUAUUCUCGGACCAGGCUUCAUCCCCCCUAAC